rnacentral:rRNA from 1 species
AUUGAACGCUGGCGGCAGGCUUAACACAUGCAAGUCGAGCGGGGGGAGGUAGCUUGCUACCGGACCUAGCGGCGGACGGGUGAGUAAUGCUUAGGAAUCUGCCUGUUAGUGGGGGACAACAUCUCGAAAGGGAUGCUAAUACCGCAUACGUCCUACGGGAGAAAGCAGGGGAUCACUUGUGACCUUGCGCUAAUAGAUGAGCCUAAGUCGGAUUAGCUAGUUGGUGGGGUAAAGGCCCACCAAGGCGACGAUCUGUAGCGGGUCUGAGAGGAUGAUCCGGCACAGUGGGCCUGAGACACGGCCCAGACUCCUACGGGGGGCAGCAGUGGGGAAUAUUGGACAAUGGGGGGAACCCUGAUCCAGCCAUGCCGCGUGUGUGAAGAAGGCCUUAUGGUUGUAAAGCACUUUAAGCGAGGAGGAGGCUCUUUUGGUUAAUACCCAAGAUGAGUGGACGUUACUCGCAGAAUAAGCACCGGCUAACUCUGUGCCAGCCGCCGCGGUAA